rnacentral:rRNA from 1 species
CCUACGGGAGGCAGCAGUGGGGAAUAUUGCACAAUGGGCGAAAGCCUGAUGCAGCGACGCCGCGUGAGGGAUGACGGCCUUCGGGUUGUAAACCUCUUUCAGCUCCGACGAAGCGAAAGUGACGGUAGGGGCAGAAGAAGCGCCGGCCAACUACGUGCCAGCAGCCGCGGUAAGACGUAGGGCGCGAGCGUUGUCCGGAUUUAUUGGGCGUAAAGAGCUCGUAGGCGGCUUGUUGCGUCGACUGUGAAAACCCGCGGCUUAACCGUGUGGUCUGCAGUCGAUACGGGCAGGCUAGAGUUCGGUAGGGGAGACUGGAAUUCCUGGUGUAGCGGUGAAAUGCGCAGAUAUCAGGAGGAACACCGGUGGCGAAGGCGGGUCUCUGGGCCGAUACUGACGCUGAGGAGCGAAAGCGUGGGGAGCGAACAGGAUUAGAUACCCU